rnacentral:rRNA from 1 species
CAGGCUUAACACAUGCAAGUCGAGGGGCAGCAUUUCAGUUUGCUUGCAAACUGGAGAUGGCGACCGGCGCACGGGUGAGUAACACGUAUCCAACCUGCCGAUAACUCGGGGAUAGCCUUUCGAAAGAAAGAUUAAUACCCGAUGGUAUAAUCAGACCGCAUGGUCUUGUUAUUAAAGAAUUUCGGUUAUCGAUGGGGAUGCGUUCCAUUAGGCAGUUGGUGAGGUAACGGCUCACCAAUCCUUCGAUGGAUAGGGGUUCUGAGAGGAAGGUCCCCCACAUUGGAACUGAGACACGGUCCAAACUCCUACGGGAGGCAGUAGUGAGGAAUAUUGGUCAAUGGGCGCAGGCCUGAACCAGCCAAGUAGCGUGAAGGAUGACUGCCCUAUGGGUUGUAAACUUCUUUUAUAUGGGAAUAAAGUUUUCCACGUGUGGAAUUUUGUAUGUACCAUAUGAAUAAGGAUCGGCUAACUCCGUGCCAGCAGCCGCGGUAAUACGGAGGAUCCGAGCGUUAUCCGGAUUUAUUGGGUUUAAAGGGAGCGUAGGUGGACAGUUAAGUCAGUUGUGAAAGUUUGCGGCUCAACCGUAAAAUUGCAGUUGAUACUGGCUGUCUUGAGUACAGUAGAGGUGGGCGGAAUUCGUGGUGUAGCGGUGAAAUGCUUAGAUAUCACGAAGAACUCCGAUUGCGAAGGCAGCUCACUGGACUGCAACUGACACUGAUGCUCGAAAGUGUGGGUAUCAAACAGGAUUAGAUACCCUGGUAGUCCACACAGUAAACGAUGAAUAUUCGCUGUUUGCGAUAUACAGUAAGCGGCCAAGCGAAAGCAUUAAGUAUUCCACCUGGGGAGUACGCCGGCAACGGUGAAACUCAAAGGAAUUGACGGGGGGCCCGCACAAGCGGAGGAACAUGUGGUUUAAUUCGAUGAUACGCGAGGAACCUUACCCGGGCUUAAAUUGCAUUUGAAUAUAUUGGAAACAGUAUAGCCGUAAGGCAAAUGUGAAGGUGCUGCAUGGUUGUCGUCAGCUCGUGCCGUGAGGUGUCGGCUUAAGUGCCAUAACGAGCGCAACCCUUAUCUUUAGUUACUAACAGGUCAUGCUGAGGACUCUAGAGAGACUGCCGUCGUAAGAUGUGAGGAAGGUGGGGAUGACGUCAAAUCAGCACGGCCCUUACGUCCGGGGCUACACACGUGUUACAAUGGGGGGUACAGAAGGCAGCUACCUGGUGACAGGAUGCUAAUCCCAAAAGCCUCUCUCAGUUCGGAUCGAAGUCUGCAACCCGACUUCGCGAAGCUGGAUUCGCUAGUAAUCGCGCAUCAGCCAUGGCGCGGUGAAUACGUUCCCGGGCCUUGUACACACCGCCCGUCAAGCCAUGAAAGCCGGGGGUACCUGAAGUACGUAACCGCAAGGAGCGUCCUAGGGUAAAACUGGUAAUUGGGGC